rnacentral:rRNA from 1 species
UUGACCUCAAAUCAGGUAGGACUACCCGCUGAACUUAAGCAUAUCAAUAAGCGGAGGAAAAGAAACUAACAAGGAUUCCCCUAGUAACUGCGAGUGAAGCGGGAAAAGCUCAAAUUUGAAAUCUGGCAGUUCUUUACUGUCCGAGUUGUAAUCUAGAGAAGUGUUACCUGUGCUGGACCGUGUACAAGUCUUCUGGAAUGGAGCAUCAUAGAGGGUGAGAAUCCCGUCUUUGACAUGGACUACCUGUACAUUAUGGUGCGCUCUCAAAGAGUCGAGUUGUUUGGGAAUGCAGCUCAAAAUGGGUGGUAAAUGCCAUCUAAAGCUAAAUAUUGGCGAGAGACCGAUAGCGAACAAGUACCGUGAGGGAAAGAUGAAAAGAACUUUGGAAAGAGAGUUAAACAGUACGUGAAAUUGCUGAAAGGGAAACGCUUGAAGUCAGUCGCGUUGGCUAGAAAUCAACCUGGCUUUUGCCUGGUGUACUUUCUGGUUGAUGGGUCAGCAUCAAUUUUGACCGCUGGAUAAAGUCACUGGGAAUGUAGCAUCUUUGGAUGUGUUAUAGCCCGUUGUCGCAUACAGUGGUUGGAAUUGAGGAACUCAGCACGCCGCAAGGCCGGGUUUUUAAACCACGUUCGUGCUUAGGAUGCUGGCAUAAUGGCUUUAAUCGACCCGUC